UGCGUAGGUGGUCUUGUAAGUCAGAAGUGAAAGGCUACGGCUUAACCGUAGUAAGCUUUUGAAACUGCAGGACUUGAGUGCAGGAGAGGAAAGUGGAAUUCCUAGUGUAGCGGUGAAAUGCGUAGAUAUUAGGAGGAACACCAGUGGCGAAGGCGACUUUCUGGACUGUUACUGACACUGAGGCACGAAAGCGUGGGGAGCGAACA
rnacentral:rRNA from 1 species